rnacentral:tRNA from 1 species
GCCUGGGUAGCUAAGUCAGUUAAGUGUCUGACUUCAGCUCAGGUCAGGAACUCGCAGUUUGUGAGUUCGAGCCCCACGUCAAGCU